rnacentral:RNase_P_RNA from 1 species
CCAGAGGGUCGGCCAGCCGCGGCAUUUAUGUCGAGGAAAGUCCGGGCUCCACGAUUAAAAGGUGCCGGUUAAUGGCCGGCGGGGGCAACCCUAGGGACAGUGCAACAGAAAGCAGGUCGCGACGGCUUCGGUCACGUGACAAUGAAAGGGUGCGGUAAGAGCGCACCGCGGGCCUGGCAACAGGUCUGGCACGGUAAACCCCACCUGGAGCAAAACCAAAUAGGGGCGGCAUAUGGCGUUUUCGGCCUGCAGCCCGGGUUGGUUGCUGGAGCCACGCAGCAAUGCAUGGCCUAGAUGAAUGGCUGGCUAUUUCGCUUCGGCGAAUGGACAGAACCCGGCUUACAGACCCUCUGGUAUU